AGAGUUUGAUCAUGGCUCAGAUUGAACGCUGGCGGCAUGCUUUACACAUGCAAGUCGAGCGGCAGCGCGGGGGCAACCCUGGCGGCGAGCGGCGAACGGGUGAGUAAUACAUCGGAACGUGUCCCGUAGUGGGGGAUAGCUCGGCGAAAGCCGGAUUAAUACCGCAUAUGCUCUACGGAGGAAAGUGGGGGAUCCGCAAGGACCUCACGCUAUGGGAGCGGCCGAUGUCCGAUUAGCUUGUUGGUGAGGUAAAGGCUUACCAAGGCGACGAUCGGUAGCUGGUCUGAGAGGAUGAUCAGCCACACUGGGACUGAGACACGGCCCAGACUCCUACGGGAGGCAGCAGUGGGGAAUUUUGGACAAUGGGGGAAACCCUGAUCCAGCCAUGCCGCGUGCGGGAAGAAGGCCUUCGGGUUGUAAACCGCUUUUGUCCGGGAAGAAAGGGUAUCCCCUAAUACGGGAUGCUUUUGACGGUACUGGAAGAAUAAGCACCGGCUAACUACGUGCCAGCAGCCGCGGUAAUACGUAGGGUGCGAGCGUUAAUCGGAAUUACUGGGCGUAAAGCGUGCGCAGGUGGUUCGUCAAGUCUGAUGUGAAAGCCCCGGGCUCAACCUGGGAAUGGCAUUGGAAACUAGCGGGCUUGAGUGUGGCAGAGGGGGGUGGAAUUCCACGUGUAGCAGUGAAAUGCGUAGAGAUGUGGAGGAACACCGAUGGCGAAGGCAGCCCCCUGGGCUAACACUGACGCUCAUGCACGAAAGCGUGGGGAGCAAACAGGAUUAGAUACCCUAGUAGUCC
rnacentral:rRNA from 1 species